AAGAUAAACAACAGCAUAGAGUAUGUGCAUGUUCAUGUUGAACAGAUAUUACGAUGUUGUGAAUAAAGACUGCCAGUUAUAUUAAGAUUUAAGCAGAUGACUAGUACAUGUAGAUUUUAUUGUUUGCAUAAUUAAAUAACCCAGUUAUAAUAGUUAUUUUCACAAAUAAACAAAUAUUAAAUUCAAAAUGGCGGCAACAAAAAAUAUGGCGGCCUCCGAUGUCCGUUUUGUUGAUACUAAGAUAAAUUCAAAAUUUUAACACCAACUGGUAUUUAUAUUUUUAAUUUAAGUUUAAAAUUACACAAUGAGGUUUAUUUGCAUUUAAAAUAAAUUAAUUAUUAAUUAUUUAUUUAUUUUUUUCGAUCACGUGACGUUUUUGAGUUCUAUGAUUGGUCAAUAACAGAGCGCGGAUUUUUCCAUGGACGAUUUGAAUGUUUGGAUGUUGAAAGUGUUGAUAGAAAAAAAGGAGAUAAAACCAGUUGCAGAAUAUUGGUACAUGAUGUUUCCAUGAGCUGAAUCUGUCCUGACCUGGAGUACAUGAAAUUCUUCAAAAUAUUACUUGUUUUAGAAUUGAAGAAAAGGUUAAAAUUGAAAGCAUAUUUCAACGAAAACUUAGCCGACUACCAGUCACACUGCCUGCCAGCCAAGACGUCUGACCAGCUAAAAUGAGGGACGCAGACCACCAGCCAAGUCCCUCGGCCAGCUCGGCUGACCCAGUGCGGCCUGUCAAGGGAUGACCAAGUCCAUCAACUAGCUCGGCUGACUACCAGUGCAGCCUGUCAAGUCCUUCAACUAACUUGGCCUAUUACCAGUGCGGCUGUCAUUGAACAACCAAGUCCAUCAACUAGAUUGACUUACUACCAGAGCGGCUUUUCAAGGGAUGGUCAAGUCCGUCAACUAACUUAACCUACUACCAGUGCCGCAUGUCAAGA